AAAAAAGUUACUGCAAUCAUCUACAACCCCAAAACUAUCUGGACGUCAGAGAAGUUACUUCGCCCUGAGAAAUUCGAAAGUAAAGCUAAUGUGUAUAACAUGAUGGAAUGGUCAAUUGUGUCGAAUGCGGCACUAAGUUCUAACAUGAGAAGAAGAGCGGAGCAGCCACUGUCAAGAUCCAUCAAUAGAUCAUUCUGAACACGAAGAAAUGCUGUCUCCGUGCUGUGACAUUUUUUGUACGCAGACUGGUAGACAUCAUUCAAAUCAUGUCUCAAAGACAUAUAAUGUGAAGAAACAUUGAAAAGCAGGUCUGUAAAAUCA